CAGGGCUGGGGGUGUGGGGUAAGAGCGCAGAGCUGCAGGAGGAGCCUCCAGGCCUCCCAGGCUCGGAAGCCCCUGGAGACCCCAUCAGCAGUGACGUAUCUGAAAUUGUUGAAGAGUCACUCUGGCCAGAGUGGAAAGUGGCUGGAGGAGAGCCCGAGUGGACCUCAGGGGACACGUCUGUCUCACUGUGUCCCUGCUGCAGGGCCCACCUGACGGAGACUCCCAGGGAGUGACAUACGCCCAGGUGGAGCACUCAGGACUCAGGAGGGGCGGGAGCUCCCCCCUCCCCCCGCUGUUGGGGCAGCUCCUGGGCACAGAGGACGCAGAGGACAGACAGACGGACACUCAGGCUGCUGCAUCUGAGGGUCCCCAGGAGGUGACCUACGCCCAGCUGUGCAGAUGGACACUCAGACGGGGGGCCGCUGCCCCUCCCUCCUCCCAGGAAGAGCAGCGCCCAGUGGAGCCCAGUGUGUAUGCUGCUCUGGCCCCCGCUAACCCCGGAGCUGCCCCCAAGGACACUCCCUAGUGGCCCAGCCUCCACAGACACCUCAGGAACCACCAGGGGACUCUGGGGACUUAGGGCACCUUGUUCUGCAGCUGUAGAUAGUGACACUGUGAUCCUCCAAAUAAACCAAGGAGUUGUCAGUCA